rnacentral:rRNA from 1 species
GAUGAACGCUAGCGGCAGGCUUAACACAUGCAAGUCGAGGGGUAGGGUUCUUCGGAAUCCGAGACCGGCGCACGGGUGCGUAACGCGUAUGCAAUCUGCCUUUCACAGAGGGAUAGCCCAGAGAAAUUUGGAUUAAUACCUCAUAGCAUCAUGGUCCGACAUCGGAUUAUGAUUAAAGUCACAACGGUGAAAGAUGAGCAUGCGUCCCAUUAGCUAGUUGGUAAGGUAACGGCUUACCAAGGCGACGAUGGGUAGGGGUCCUGAGAGGGAGAUCCCCCACACUGGUACUGAGACACGGACCAGACUCCUACGGGAGGCAGCAGUGAGGAAUAUUGGUCAAUGGGCGCAAGCCUGAACCAGCCAUGCCGCGUGCAGGAUGACGGUCCUAUGGAUUGUAAACUGCUUUUGUACGGGAAGAAACACUCCCUCGUGAGGGAGCUUGACGGUACCGUAAGAAUAAGGAUCGGCUAACUCCGUGCCAGCAGCCGCCGUAA